UACGUAGGGCGCAAGCGUUGUCCGGAAUUAUUGGGCGUAAAGAGCUCGUAGGCGGCUUGUCACGCCGGGUGUGAAAGCCCGGGGCUUAACCCCGGGUCUGCAUUCGAUACGGGCAGGCUAGAGUGUGGUAGGGGAGAUCGGAAUUCCUGGUGUAGCGGUGAAAUGCGCAGAUAUCAGGAAGAACACCGGUGGCGAAGGCGGCUCUCUGGGCCUUACCUGACGCUGAGGAGCGAAAGCGUGGGUAGCGAACAGG
rnacentral:rRNA from 1 species